CCUACGGGAGACAGCAGUGAGGAAUAUUGGUCAAUGGGCGGGAGCCUGAACCAGCCAAGUCGCGUGAGGGAAGAAGGUCCUGCGUAUUGUAAACCUCUUUUGCCAGGGAACAAAGGCUGCCACGGGUGCCCUUAUGUGUGUACCUGGAGAAAAAGCAUCGGCUAACUCCGUGCCAGCAGCCGCGGUAAUACGGAGGAUGCGAGCGUUAUCCGGAUUUAUUGGGUUUAAAGGGUGCGCAGGCGGCGUGUCAAGUCAGCGGUAAAAUGUCGGGGCUCAACCCCGGCCGGCCGUUGAAACUGGCGGGCUCGAGUUGGAGAGAAGUAGGCGGAAUUCGUGGUGUAGCGGUGAAAUGCUUAGAUAUCACGAAGAACCCCGAUUGCGAAGGCAGCAUACCGGAUCGACACUGACGCUGAGGCACGAAAGCGUGGGUAUCGAACAGGAUUAGAUACCCGUGUAGUC
rnacentral:rRNA from 1 species